rnacentral:tRNA from 1 species
GACGGUAGAGCUCAGUGGCAGAGCACGUGUUUAGUGUGCGUGAAGUCCUAGGUUCAAUCCCCAGUACCUCUA